GACGAACGCUGGCGGCGUGCUUAACACAUGCAAGUCGAACGGAAAGGCCCUGCUUUUGUGGGGUGCUCGGGUGGCGAACGGGUAAGUAACACGUGAGUAACCUGCCCUUGUCUUUGGGAUAAAUUCAGGAAACUGGGGCUAAUACCGGAUAGGAGCUCCUGCUGCGUGGUGGGGGUUGGAACGUUUCGGCGGGUGGGGAUGGACUCGCGGCUUAUCAGCUUGUUGGUGGGGUAGUGGCUUACCAAGGCUUUGACGGGUAGCCGGCCUGAGAGGGUGACCGGCCACAUUGGGACUGAGAUACGGCCCAGGCCCCUACGGGAGGCAGCAGGGGGGAAUAUUGCACAAGGGGCGGAAGCCUGAUGCAGCAACGCCGCGUGCGGGAUGACGGCCUUCGGGUGGAAAACCGCUUUCGCCUGAGACGAAGCGUGAGUGACGGUAAUUGGUAAAGAAGCACCGGCUAACUACGUG
rnacentral:rRNA from 1 species